rnacentral:rRNA from 1 species
GACGAACGCUGGCGGCGUGCCUAAUACAUGCAAGUAGGACGCAGUUGCGAACGGGUGAGUAACGCGUAGGUAACUGCCUAUUAGAGGGUGCUAACUAUUGGAAACGAUAGCUAAUACCGCAUACUAGUAGAUGUACCUGCGUUGUAUUAGCUAGUGGGUAGGGUAAUGGCCUACCUAGGCAACGAUACAUAGCCGACCUGGAGAGGUGGUUGGGCAAACGGGGGAUGAGAAAAGGCCCAGACUCCUACUGGAAGCAGCAGUAGGGGAUCAUCGGAAAAGGGGGGAACCCUGGCCAAGGAACGGCGCGUGAGUGGAGAAGGUUUUCGGAGCGUAAAAGUACGUUGAUAAGGAAGCGGUACUUAACAAGAAAGGGACGGCUAACUACGUGCCAGCAGCCGCGGUAAUUC